CGUCAAUUGCUCUUUUUGUUUCUCUAAUUAAAUAGCACCUCAAGAUAAUCAACUCUGAACAUAAAUCAGCACUUAUUAUGUCUGAAUGUCCAUUAUGUUUCAAAUAUUACUCAAGAUUACAACAAACUAUUGCAUACUCUUUAAUAUCUCCAAAUUUAACAAAAAUCCAAAUAUCUCUUCAUAAUGUGUAAAUUGUUCAAAGCGAGUUUGAAGUAAUGAUCAAACUUGAUCAAUUAUAAAGAGAAAAUACUCAACUCUAAAAGAUUCUUCAACCGAGUAUGUAAUCUCUUCACUGCCACUUUCAUGAGUUUCAUCAAAUUACUUCUUUCUUCGAAUGUUGUGUCUCUCUUGGAAUACAACUUGAAUUCUGAUUUCACUUGCCAUUUGUUGAGCUUAUCCAUGACAGUAGCAAACCCAGAUUCUCUAUAAUAUUCG
rnacentral:lncRNA from 1 species